rnacentral:ribozyme from 13 species
CAAAGAAGACAAAGAAAGACAGAAAGAAACAUAAAAAGGAGAAGAAAAACAAAAGAAAGAAAGGAAA